rnacentral:lncRNA from 1 species
AUGAUUGUUACUGCAAGGAUUGAAGGCAAAGGACUGGAAACACGCACUCAGCUCAGACCCUGCCUUCAGCCGGCGCCAGAAUCCUUCCUUGACCCCAGCCUCACCGUGAGACACCUGGCCCUUCACUUAGAAAGAGCUCCAUCAAUCAGCACCUUGGCGGCCCACUACCCACCGUCCACCUGUAAACUGUUCCUUUAAAACUGGAAUUCAAAGUAAAUGCAAAGCGGAAAGAAGCUCCACAGUGCGCCCUUCGGGUGAACCGGUCCUCCUGCUGCCUUUAGACCAGCGCCUCUGGCUAUUUUUCAGCCUGACUUACGCACAAAGAAGAAAGCCGUAUGCAUUGGAAUAGAGUCUCUCUCUCACGAUUGUUCUGGUAGAUUUCAGAAACCCUACAAGAGUAAUACGGGGAGCCAUGGCUCUUCUUGUGAUUGCUGUCACAGUUUUAUGAAAGACAUUUUCAAAAGUUAGCCUCAAGGAGAUUCUGGAGAUUUCUGUGCUCUCAGGAAACCCUCCCUUGCCACGGCUCAGAAGCAGAAGUGAGCGGCCAGCCUUGUCCACUUAUGGAGAGGAAUUUUCUGCACCUUCACAAGAGCUCAAAAUGAACCCAGACAGAGUCUUUGAAAGGACAAGGGCAGGGCCCAGGAACCGGGCUGUGACUCUGCCCUGCCUCUCUGCUUUCGGAUCCUGUGUCCUCAGAACCCACCAAAGUCACGUCGGUCUUGUCGCCACAGGUUCUCCUGGCCCUGGGUGAGCCACGCUGGUAGAGUUAGCACCAGCGGGGAAAUGCAGGCCGGCGGCCGGGAGGCUGACCCUCUGCAGCUGGCGCUACGUCCACUAGCGCGUCUUCACCCAUGAGGUACUUCCUCAUUCUCGACUUUACCCCCAGCUCCAGACUCAGAGUAUGAAGAACUCGAGUGGUUGCCUGACAUGGUUUGGCUGUGUCCCCACCCAAAUCUCAUCUUGAAUUGGAGCUCCCAUAAUUCCCAUGAGUGGCGGGAGGGACCUGGUGGGAGAUAAUUGAGUCGUAGGGCAGUUUCCCAUGUACUGUUCUCAUAGCAGUGAAUAAGCCUCACAAGAUCUGGUGCUUUUAUCGGGGAAGCCCCUUUUGCUUAGUUCUCGUUCUCCCUUGUCUGUAGCCAUGUGAGGCAUGCCUUUCACCUUCCACAAUGAUUGUGAGGUCUCCCCUGCCAUGUGGAACUGUGAGUUCAUUAAACCUCUUUCUUUUUAAAUUACCCAGUCUGGGGUAUGUCUUUAUCAGCAUGAAAAUGGACUAAUACAUUGCCUGUUUAUAUUUUUAAUUGGCAAGUGCCCUUAAGUUGCUGGAGAGUGGGGCCAGCUAACUACAGCCCAUGGGCCAACGCUGGGCCCCUCUCCGGUUUCUGCAAACCCAGCCUCACAGGAGUGCAGGGCCUUCGCUGGCCGUGGUCAGAAGCUGCUUUUUCCCAGAGGUGUGGUGCUGAGCAGAGGUGAUGGAGCCCCCAUGGCCUGAAACAUUCAUUGCCCCUUCAAAUGUGCCUGUUAUUGAUGGCUCAGAGCACAC